GGCUGGUCUGAAGGGAGUGAGUUAUCUCAUUUGAUUGCUCAUGCAGUUACAGAUCAAACACCUUGUUCUACUCUUACCCCCUUCUCACUACUACACUUGACUAGUCUUAA
ensembl:misc_RNA Y_RNA Y RNA